AGGGCACCACCAGGAGUGGAGCCUGCGGCUUAAUUUGACUCAACACGGGAAAACUUACCCGGCCCGGACACUGGGAGGAUUGACAGAUUGAGAGCUCUUUCUUGAUUCAGUGGGUGGUGGUGCAUGGCCGUUCUUAGUUGGUGGAGCGAUUUGUCUGGUUAAUUCCGAUAACGAACGAGACUCUAGCCUAUUAAAUAGACCGGGAGCUUACAAUUGUUACGCUCCCGGGCGCUUCUUAGAGGGACAGUCGGCGGUUCAGCCGGACGAAACAGAGCAAUAACAGGUCUGUGAUGCCCUUAGAUGUCCGGGGCCGCACGCGCGCUACACUGAAGUGAUCAGCGUGCAUAUUGUUCCCUGCCUGAUAAGGCUGGGUAACCGAGUGAACCUUCUUCGUGAUAGGGAUUGGGCAUUGUAACUAUUGCCCAUGAACGAGGAAUUCCCAGUAAGCGUGGAUCAUAAGUCCCGCGUUGAUUACGUCCCUGCCCUUUGUACACACCGCCCGUCGCUACUACCGAUUUG
rnacentral:rRNA from 1 species